rnacentral:rRNA from 1 species
AGAGUUUGAUCAUGGCUCAGGACUAACGCUGGCGGCGUGCCUAACACAUGCAAGUCGAACGAGGUAGCAAUACCUAGUGGCAGACGGGUGAGUAACGCGUGGUCAACCUUCCCUUUAGUGGGGGAUAACUAGCCGAAAGGUUAGCUAAUACCGCAUACGAUCUUCGAAUGGCAUCAUUUGAAGAUGAAAGGAGCAAUCCGCUUAAGGACGGGACCGCGUCCCAUUAGCUAGAUGGUGGGGUAAUAGCCUACCAUGGCAUCGAUGGGUAGCUGGUUUGAGAGAGCGACCAGCCACACUGGGACUGAGAAACGGCCCAGACUCCUACGGGAGGCAGCAGUGAGGAAUUUUCCGCAAUGGGCGAAAGCCUGACGGAGCGACGCCGCGUGUGGGAAGAAGGCCUUCGGGUCGUAAACCACUGUCGAAGGGGAAGAUACUGACGGUACCCUUGGAGGAAGCCCCGGCUAACUACGUGCCAGCCGCCGCGGUAAUAC